rnacentral:rRNA from 1 species
CCUACGGGGGGCACCAGUGGGGAAUAUUGCACAAUGGGCGCAAGCCUGAUGCAGCCAUGCCGCGUGUAUGAAGAAGGCCUUAGGGUUGUAAAGCUCUUUCACCGGUGAAGAUAAUGACGGUAACCGGAGAAGAAGCCCCGGCUAACUUCGUGCCAGCAGCCGCGGUAAUACGAAGGGGGCUAGCGUUGUUCGGAAUUACUGGGCGUAAAGCGUGCGUAGGCGGAUAGAUAAGUCAGAGGUGAAAUCCCGGGGCUCAACCCCGGAAUUGCCUUUGAUACUGUUUAUCUUGAGUGCAGAAGAGGUAAGUGGAAUUCCGAGUGUAGAGGUGAAAUUCGUAGAUAUUCGGAGGAACACCGGUGGCGAAGGCGGCAACCUGGCUCGAUACUGACGCUGAGGCGCGAAAGCGUGGGGAGCAAACAGGAUUAGAUACCCUCGUAGUC